CUUAAAAAUGGUGUUUCUGUCAGACUCAGAUAAGGAAGUCGCAUAAACCAUCAUGAUGGAUUCUACAACUUGUUCCUUGCCUGAGAAUAAUGCAAGGAGGAGUAAAGAAAUCUUAAAAGUUUGAGAUGACGAAGAAGAUGAUUUAUGCUACUGAAUUCGGCUCAAACAAUGGACUUAACCCCACAGGUGCACGGAUGGAGAGAUUCAAUUGAUGGAGGAAAGUGUUAACAAACAUGGUUCGAGAUGACGAAGAAGAUGGUUUAUGCUAUUGAAAGGAUUCAAAGUAAUGACUUUCCCUCACAGACAGAAAAUAAUAUAUAGAAUGGAGAGCAUUUUGCAGAAUGAUUAUGUAGUUAUUCGUGGCAAAGAUGCGAUGUGUAUUUAUGCUGCAGGUGGACCAUGUUCCAAUAGAAAAUUGAAUGCAAUGUGCAUUUAUGUUGCAUAUGUAUCAGUACAUAUGUUCCGUUCAUAAAAUGUUGGUCUAAUAAUAGUGGCAUCUUUUGUAAAUAUCCUAGUAAGAAGAGGGUAAAAGUUUAAGGAGGCUGAGACGCAUUGUGAGACUGCCACGUAAGGGUGGCAUGCCUGU